AGAGUUUGAUCCUGGCUCAGGAUGAACGCUAGCGACAGGCUUAACACAUGCAAGUCGAGGGGCAGCAUUGCAAUUGGCUUGCCAAUUGCAGAUGGCGACCGGCGCACGGGUGAGUAACGCGUAUGGAACCUGCCCUCUACAGGGGAAUAGCCCAUGGAAACGUGGAUUAAAACCCCAUAACUCCCGGACCGGGCAUCCGGUCCGGGUUAAAUCCGAGGAGGUAGAGGAUGGCCAUGCGUCCUAUUAGCUUGUUGGCGGGGUAACGGCCCACCAAGGCGAUGAUAGGUAGGGGUUCUGAGAGGAAGGUCCCCCACAUUGGAACUGAGACACGGUCCAAACUCCUACGGGAGGCAGCAGUGAGGAAUAUUGGUCAAUGGCCGGAAGGCUGAACCAGCCAAGUCGCGUGAGGGAAGACUGCCCUAUGGGUUGUAAACCUCUUUUAUUCGGGAAGAAUAAGUUGCACGUGUGCAACGAUGCCUGUACCGAAUGAAUAAGCAUCGGCUAACUCCGUGCCAGCAGCCGCGGUAAUACGGAGGAUGCGAGCGUUAUCCGGAUUUAUUGGGUUUAAAGGGUGCGUAGGCGGUCGAUUAAGUUAGUGGUAAAAUGUCAUGGCUAAACCUUGGCCUGCCAUUAAUACUGGUCGACUCGAGUACAGACGAGGUAGGCGGAAUAAGUUAAGUAGCGGUGAAAUGCUUAGAUAUAACUUAGAACUCCGAUAGCGAAGGCAGCUUACCAGACUGUCACUGACGCUCAAGCACGAGAGCGUGG
rnacentral:rRNA from 1 species